GACGAACGCUGGCGGCGUGCUUAACACAUGCAAGUCGAACGGAAAGGCCCUGCUUUUGUGGGGUGCUCGAGUGGCGAACGGGUGAGUAACACGUGAGUAACCUGCCCUUGACUUUGGGAUAACUUCAGGAAACUGGGGCUAAUACCGGAUAGGAGCUCCUGCUGCAUGGUGGGGGUUGGAAAGUUUCGGCGGUUGGGGAUGGACUCGCGGCUUAUCAGCUUGUUGGUGGGGUAGUGGCUUACCAAGGCUUUGACGGGUAGCCGGCCUGAGAGGGUGACCGGCCACAUUGGGACUGUGAUACGGCCCAGACUCCUACGGGAGGCAGCAGUGGGGAAUAUUGCACGAUGAGCGGAGGCCUGAUGCAGCAACGCCGCGUGCGGGAUGACGGCCUUCGGGUUGUAAACCGCUUUCGCCUGUAACGAAGCGUGAGUGACGGUAAUGGGUAAAGAAGCACCGGCUAACUACGU
rnacentral:rRNA from 1 species